rnacentral:rRNA from 1 species
CAACGAUGGCGGAGGCCUAACACAUGCAAGUCGAGCGCACCUUCGGGUGAGCGGCGGACGGGUUAGUAACGCGUGGGAACGUGCCCUUCUCUAAGGAAUAGCCACUGGAAACGGUGAGUAAUACCUUAUACGCCCUUCGGGGGAAAGAUUUAUCGGAGAAGGAUCGGCCCGCGUUAGAUUAGAUAGUUGGUGGGGUAACGGCCUACCAAGUCUACGAUCUAUAGCUGGUUUUAGAGGAUGAUCAGCAACACUGGGACUGAGACACGGCCCAGACUCCUACGGGAGGCAGCAGUGGGGAAUCUUGGACAAUGGGCGCAAGCCUGAUCCAGCCAUGCCGCGUGAGUGAUGAAGGCCUUAGGGUCGUAAAGCUCUUUCGCCAGGGAUGAUAAUGACAGUACCUGGUAAAGAAACCCCGGCUAACUCCGUGCCAGCAGCCGCGGUAAUACGGAGGGGGUUAGCGUUGUUCGGAAUUACUGGGCGUAAAGCGUACGUAGGCGGAUUAGUCAGUCAGAGGUGAAAUCCCAGGGCUCAACCCUGGAACUGCCUUUGAUACUGCUAGUCUUGAGUUCGAGAGAGGUGAGUGGAAUUCCGAGUGUAGAGGUGAAAUUCGUAGAUAUUCGGAGGAACACCAGUGGCGAAGGCGGCUCACUGGCUCGAUACUGACGCUGAGGUACGAAAGUGUGGGGAGCAAACAGGAUUAGAUACCCUGGUAGUCCACACCGUAAACGAUGAAUGCCAGUCGUCGGAUAGCAUGCUAUUCGGUGACACACCAUAACGGAUUAGCAUUCCGCAUGGGGAGUACAGUCGCAAGAUUAGGACUCACAGGAAUUGACGG